rnacentral:misc_RNA from 1 species
GCAGACAUAAAUUGCAGCACUGGAGUGGUUGGCUUUGAUGAUUUUGAGCCAUUGACUUCUGUUCAUGUCAAUUCCACAGAUGAUCAGUUUCUUGCCAGUGGGUACUCAAAGGAUGUUGCUCUGUAUGACAUUAGUAGUAGAAGACGCAUACAGCUGUUUACUAAUAUGCAUCGAGAACCCAUUAAUGUUGCUAAAUUUGCUCACUAUUCUCCCUUCAUAUUUGCUACUUCGUCAUUUGACCAUGAUGUCAAGCUCUGGGAUUUGAGGCAAAAACCAGAGUGGCCCUGCUG